ACAUUGUACCCAUAUGUGAUUUUUGUGUUUGUAAGGUGUAUACGAGGGUCGGUCAAAAUGUAGUCGGCCUAACUAUAUUCUCGAUGUCCAAUGUUUGAAGAGGUUCCAUUUUAGUUUGUUUGAAUCAUUACCAAAACCGUAUAAAAAAAUUCACAUAUGUGGGUAAUGUGAUUAACGAGAUAUAAGUCAUCACAACACAUUCGGGUAUAAUAUUUCUAGAAAAA